rnacentral:rRNA from 1 species
UGAGGAAUAUUGGUCAAUGGGCGAGAGCCUGAACCAGCCAAGUAGCGUGCAGGAUGACGGCCCUAUGGGUUGUAAACUGCUUUUAUGCGGGGAUAAAGUGCGUGACGUGUCAUGCAUUGCAGGUACCACAUGAAUAAGGACCGGCUAAUUCCGUGCCAGCAGCCGCGGUAAUACGGAAGGUCCGGGCGUUAUCCGGAUUUAUUGGGUUUAAAGGGAGCGUAGGCUGUCUAUUAAGCGUGUUGUGAAAUUUACCGGCUCAACCGGUGGCUUGCAGCGCGAACUGGUCGACUUGAGUAUGCAGGAAGUAGGCGGAAUUCAUGGUGUAGCGGUGAAAUGCUUAGAUAUCAUGACGAACUCCGAUUGCGCAGGCAGCUUACUGUAGCAUAACUGACGCUGAUGCUCGAAAGUGCGGGUAUCAAACAGG